CCUACGGGUGGCAGCAGUCGAGAAUCAUUCACAAUGGGGGAAACCCUGAUGGUGCGACGCCGCGUGGGGGAAUGAAGGUCUUCGGAUUGUAAACCCCUGUCAUGUGGGAGCAAAUUAAAAAGAUAGUACCACACGAGGAAGAGACGGCUAACUCUGUGCCAGCAGCCGCGGUAAUACAGAGGUCUCAAGCGUUGUUCGGAAUCACUGGGCGUAAAGCGUGCGUAGGCUGUUUCGUAAGUCGUGUGUGAAAGGCGCGGGCUCAACCCGCUGACGGCACAUGAUACUGCGAGACUAGAGUAAUGGAGGGGGAACCGGAAUUCUCGGUGUAGCAGUGAAAUGCGUAGAUAUCGAGAGGAACACUCGUGGCGAAGGCGGGUUCCUGGACAUUAACUGACGCUGAGGCACGAAGGCCAGGGGAGCGAAAGGGAUUAGAUACCCCAGUAGUC
rnacentral:rRNA from 1 species